GACGUAGGGCGCGAGCGUUGUCCGGAUUUAUUGGGCGUAAAGAGCUCGUAGGCGGCCUGUCGCGUCGGUUGUGAAAGCCCGGGGCUUAACCCCGGGUCUGCAGUCGAUACGGGCAGGCUAGAGUUCGGUAGGGGAGAUCGGAAUUCCUGGUGUAGCGGUGAAAUGCGCAGAUAUCAGGAGGAACACCGGUGGCGAAGGCGGAUCUCUGGGCCGAUACUGACGCUGAGGAGCGAAAGCGUGGGGAGCAAACGGG
rnacentral:rRNA from 1 species